rnacentral:misc_RNA from 1 species
AUAUACUAUAUUGAUGAACGUGUAUACUGUCAAUGUUAUUGUUUUUUUUAGUUGUUUUUUUUCUCCUUGCAAUUAUUUCCUAGUCUGUAGCUGAUUUUUUAUAAGCACCAUGAAAUGGACAAGAGAUGACAACAGUAACACAGUCAUCUCCCUUUGUUGUGAGGACCGUAUAUAUCUAUUGCUUUUUUCUAUACAUUGUACCAAGUGAUCAGUAAGGAGUUCGUACAUCUUGAUCUCAGCUAUGUUAAAGGGUUUGGGAAACUUACAACGCACAAAACAGUUCUCUUGCCGGUGACAGCACGGAAAGCUUAGGAUGUUGGGAUGGUGUCUUAUUCACUGCCAAAAUUCAAACUCUAAGAAGUUUUACCUCAGUACAUAAGUUUAAGCACAGAUUAGACUUACGGAAUUAAUGUCACUGAUUAGAGAAUAGGAAUUUAGUGGUGCUUUUAUUCCAGACAUUUUUUUUUUUAGAAUUUGAAAUGGUAAUGGUAUUUGCAUCUACCUAUAUGAUAACAGCUUAAGGAACACUGGUGCGAGCUGAUUUAUUUGCUUUAAGCUUCUCAAAGAAAUCAAAACUUUGAUGUUGGAUGUUUGUUUAAAGCACCUCUCAUAGACUCUACCUCUUUGUUACAGAGAUGAAGGAAAAACAUGAUGAUAAAAUGUUGGAAUUGUUUUGUAAAUGUUUAUAUAUUGUAAAAACUUGUAAAACUAGGCAAUCGCUAGGAUUUUGUUUUAGUUCUCCAGGCUCCAGCUGAUGCAGCAUGUUUGCUUUGAAUAUAAACAUAGUCAGCCAAGACAUCCCUUACCAAAGCCAGGAAAUAGGAAUCUGGCUUCUGUGACAUUAGCCAGUCUAUAGGAUUCUGGCUUCUGUGACAUUAGCCCAUCUAUAGGAUUCUGAUUUCUGUGACAUUAGCCAGGCUAUAGAGAUCUGGCUUCUGUGACAUUGGCUAUUGAGGUCUGGCUUCUGUGACAUUAGCCAGGCUAUAGGAAUCUGACUUCUGUGACAUUAGCCAGGCUAUAGAGGUCUGGCUUCUGUGACAUUAGCCAGUCUAUAGGAUUCUGGCUUCUGUGACAUUAGCCAGGCUAUAGGAAUCUGACUUCUGUGACAUUAGCCAGGGUAUAGGAAUCUGGCUUGUGUGACAUUAGCCAGGCUAUAGGAAUGCUAUAGGAUUCUGUGAUGUUAGCUUGGCCUCUUUCAUGUUAUUCAGUGUUAAGGUUUCUGUGGUGAAAAAUAUUCACUCCAGCAAUUUCUAGCUUCAUUAUUCAUCAAUAGAGAUAGACCUAUGAUGGAUGAAAGUGUGAAUAGAAGAAAUAGUGAGUAGUUUGAAAGCAACAUGGAAGAAUGCUGUUUGAUGUUUUUAUCAGUACAAAUGAAAUGCAUUUAGAAUUUUUUUUCAUUCAAUGAAAUAUGUAAAUUUCCAUGAUAUAUGAAAAAGAAAUGUGCUAUUUUGUAUGCUUUGAUGUAUAUAUUUAGACGUUAUGAUUAAUUUAUUGAUGAAAUCAUACCUCAGAUGUGUCGCAAAUUUUAUCAUGAAAGGUUAUGCAUUGAAUUAUUGUUAAUUUUGUCUCUAAAUUUUAUUAUUAGAGUAUAUGAUAUUUUACUGUGGUGCAUUGAGAACAGUUGUGUAUUUAUUCAGAAAACACUAAUAUGUACCAAUGAUACUGGUGGGAUAAAGUCGGGGACAGACGCACCAAGGAAUUGACUUUUCUGUCCCUUCUCCAGAUGUUGAUGAGAUUGUUUUAUGUGAGCAGAUGAUGAUAAGACAUAUAUAGGUGUAUAUCUGGAUUAUGCUGUCCUGACAGCAGUCCUAAUGGUAAUGUUUAUGUAUCCAAUAAAAAAUGAAUCAC